AUAAACUUCCGGUAAAAAUAGCACGCACUCUAUCACUCUGGAGUGUGUGUCGGGUACUACUACACGUGCUAUGUAAUUAUAUUUGACCUAUUUAAGUUUACACCUCAAACAGCAGUUGUUGAUUAGAAAGCUGAUGUUUUAAUGAUCUGGUGAUCUGGUGUCGGUGAUGUUACCAAAUAAUCUGAUAAUAGGAGAUGGACAUUUGUAUAAAUAUACAUGGUAGAAGAUCAGUGUUUUCAUUUUUGUCGAGCCUGUCACUUUUGUUGCAGAAAGCUCGACAUGUAUAGGGAUAGUGACGACAGUGAAGUUUAUGUGAUAUUAGUAUGUAGAGAGAAGUUCAGAACAAGAUAUUGUUUGAAGAGGAAUCACAGAGGAAAAGAGCUCAACUUUUAAUGAAUCUUCUUAGUACAGCACUGAAUCAUGAGACAAUAAUUCAUAUUUGAUUGUUAUUACAAAGAGUGGAUGUAUCUGACUAACAUUUGUAUGACAUUCAUCAAGACUUACAAGGCAAAGAAUCAGAUGUUACAAACAAAUGUGUGUGCAUUUAAAGACAUGAAUAUAUGUAAAUGUUACUUUCUUCUUGUGAUUUGAAGAGAAUUUGUUUUAGAUACUAACUGUGUAUGAAUUGAUGGUUGUUUUAAUACUAUUUAUAAAUACAUGAUUGUAACCCUUAAUCAAUUAAAGAAGAAAACAGAAAUGUUAGAAAA